AUGUCUGUCCUGCAAUGCCUAGUGACGCUUAUUAACCAGUAACCUGAAGAGCAGUAACUGGCAAUUCUAGCCACCACCCCUCCCCAAGCCCCUUCAUGUUCUCACAGCAUGUUUAUCACACACAAGCCAUUCAGGGACAGAGAAUCCUUGACUGCCCCAAAGCCUACUAGGAAUAAAGAUCAAGCAAAAUCUUCUUUGAAAACACCAGUGAUUCUAUCAUAUUGGAAAUAUACAUAAGAGUGUAUAGAAAACGAAUGUAGACAUUGGACAGUUCAUCCGAAUUGCAUUAUGAUUUAGCACAUCAUGUAGUUCAAAGGAUUCACAUUCCUUUCCGUGAUCUUAAGCCAAAACUGUAGAAUUGCCACAACAGUACUAGAUAUACACACAUUCCCUGUUUCGUGGAAAUCCAAGAACCAAGAGGAUACGGGAGGAGAAAAUUUGCGACUGUCUGCAACAAUAAAUCAGGUAUCUAUUCUGGUGUAGAGAUAGGAUGUUGAGAGCCGCCCUGCUAUCACCAGUGUAGGAAUUAAGAGUAGUACAGUACAUGUACAGAAAUCUGCCAUCGCGUGUUUGUGUAAACUCAAUGUGCACAUUUUGUAUCUCAAAAAGGAAAAAUAAAGCAAAAUAAAGUGUUUAUUACUCU
rnacentral:lncRNA from 1 species